GACAGAGGAUGCAAGCGUUAUCCGGAAUGAUUGGGCGUAAAGCGUCUGUAGGUGUUUGUUAAGUGAAUAGUGAAAUCUGGGGGCUCAACCUCACAGACUAUUAUUCAAACUGGCAAACUCGAGAAUGGUAGAGGUAACUGGAAUUUCUAGUGUAGGAGUGAAAUCCGUAGAUAUUAGAAGGAACACCAAUGGCGUAGGCAGGUUACUGGACCAUUUCUGACACUGAGGCACGAAAGCGUGGGGAGCGAACCGG
rnacentral:rRNA from 1 species